rnacentral:hammerhead_ribozyme from 1 species
AUCCAGCUGACAAGUCCCACAUAGGACGAGAUGCGAGUCCUGGAU